AACAACUUAAAUGUCCAUUGACAGAAGAAUGGAUAAAGACGAUGUGGUACAUACAUACAAUGGAAUAUCCCUCACUCAUAAAAAGAAUGAAAUAAUGCCAUUUGCAGCAACAUGGAUGGACCUGAGAUUAUCCCACUAAGGAAGCAUGCCGGAGUUCCUGAGCCCGGGAUCAUGCCCAUGUCGUAGCAGGGACCUGAGCUACAGCAGUGACAAUGCUGAGCCACCGGGGAACUUCCUGCAGGAAACCUUUUAUACAAACCAAAAUCAUUAAAGGACGGGGCUCAUCGCUAGAGAAAUUGCAAAGAAACAACAUAGAAAACAAGCUGUUAUGGAGGCCAGAGCUGACAGGAGGGGAACAGCCUGUGCAAAGGUGUGGAGUGAGAGUGAGGCCGUGGGGUGAGCCCAGCACUGAGCACCUAGGAUCCUUCAGGCCAAUGCAAUAGGUUUUUGUCCAUGCUGGUCCCUCUGUCUAGAACACUCUUCCUCGGAGCUUCCCAGGUUCUGGCACGGGUCACCCUGUAGAUCAUGUUGGCGCUCUUCCCAGAUUCCCUCAGAUUCCUUUCUUCCAUGUUUGGGCCCCUCCUGGGCUCCAAGCAUCCCGGCAGUCCAGGGGUAUAGAUGUCAAAUGCAUCAGGAGGUCAAGGGAGCAGAGGACAGAGAACUGACCAUUGGAUUUGGCCAUGAGACUGAGACUGUCAUCGGUGACCUUGAUGCGUGAGCCAGAUGUCAUUCCCACCUGCGACAAAUCCGCAGAAGCGGCAGCACUGCUCUGAGAAGACGUCACAGGCUUUGCCAGACUGACAGAGGGAUCAAAAAGCCUCAGAAGCCUCGAUCUGAUGUUAACAAAAAGAGAGCAGUGCUCAUGCUGCAGCUGCUGGAGGACAGCCUGGAGGAGCAGGGCAUUCAGGAAAUAUGGAUUGUACCAACUGGAAAGGCUACAGGGAGCAGGGGUCCACCGUGCCCACUGGGGAGGCUCAGCGAGAAGGACGAUGGGGGCGGUGGCGGCGGCGGCGGCGGGAGGAAGUGCAGCGCGGAGAGGAAGCCGGG